UGCUCGCUUAGGCGGCACAUACACUAAAUUGGAACAGUACAGAGAAGAUUAGCAUGGCCCAUGCACAAGGAUGAUAUGCAAAUUCAUGAAGUGUUCCAUAUAUUU